rnacentral:ncRNA from 1 species
CCGGUUGUUCCAUCAACCGUUCCCUACCUGGACAUGCUGAGCCGGUAACAGCUUGGUGUGAAGCUCUGGGGACAACAUAGCCGCCGGGUAACCGGUCCGCCGAACCGCGAGGGGAAGCGGAGUCUGCCAGCACGAAGGCGGAUAGGAGC